GAUGAACGCUGGCGGCGUGCCUAAUACAUGCAAGUCGAACGAAACUUCUUUAUCACCGAGUGCUUGCACUCACCGAUAAAGAGUUGAGUGGCGAACGGGUGAGUAACACGUGGGCAACCUGCCCAAAAGAGGGGGAUAACACUUGGAAACAGGUGCUAAUACCGCAUAACCAUAGUUACCGCAUGGUAACUAUGUAAAAGGUGGCUAUACUACCGCUUUUGGAUGGGCCCGCGGCGCAUUAGCUAGUUGGUAGGGUAAAGGCUUACCAAGGCAAUGAUGCGUAGCCGAAUUGAGAGGUUGAUCGGCCACAUUGGGACUGAGACACGGCCCAAACUCCUACGGGAGGCAGCAGUAGGGAAUCUUCCACAUUGGGCGAAAGCCUGAUGGAGCAACGCCGCGUGGGUGAAGAAGGUCUUCGGAUCGUAAAACCCUGUUGUUAGAGAAGAAAGUGCGUGAGAGUAACUGUUCACGUUUCGACGGUAUCUAACCGGAAAGCCACGGCUAACUACGUG
rnacentral:rRNA from 1 species